rnacentral:lncRNA from 1 species
GUGCGACCACCCCUUGUUUCCACAGCCUACUUGCCCAUUUGGCCACCGCCUCCAGAGUUUCCAUCAUGCCUGACAGCGAAUUACAUGGGACCGCUGGGUCCUCGAAAUAGUUCAGUCUGGUUACUCUAUCCCAUUCAUAUCCUAUCCUCCUACCCUUCCCCAUCCCUCUUCAGGGACUCCUCUCACAAGCUCCUCCUUCGUGCAGAAGUGGCGCACCUCCUCCAGCUAGGUGCAGUGGAACCUGUGCUGAUGCAACAUCAAGGGAAAGGGUUCUUCUCCCAUUACUUCCUGACCCAGAAAAAAAACGGGGUGAUGGAGGCCUAUAUUAGUCCUAUGCCGACUGAACAAAUUCGUGAGGGUACAAAAAUUCAAGAUGGUCACACUGGGCACAAUAAUUCCUGCACUGGAUCAAGGGGACUGGUUUACAGCCCUCGACCUACAGAACGCUUAUUUUCAUAUAUCAAUUCAUCCAGCUCACAGGCACUUCCUACAAUUCACAAUCUGUCACAACCAUUUUCAAUACAGAGUUCUUCCUUUUGGCCUCUCCACAGCGCCGAGAGUCUUUUCCAAGACUCUAGCCAUGGUCGUGGCUUACCUCCGCAAACAUGGGAUCGCGCUGUUCCCCUACCUGGACGAUUGCCUCGUCAAGGGCAACUCCUAUGGCGAAACACUUCAAGCUACCCAUUUCGCCAUCUCCCUCUUCCACAGCCUAGGUCUCCAAAUAAACAUCCAAAAAUCCAUCUUGACACCUACACAACAGAUCGAGUUCAUCGGAGCUCAUCUCGACUCAAUCCAGAGCAGGGCCUCGCUCCCAUAUCACAGAUUUCUCGCUAUCACACAGCUCAUACACAUGCUCUCUAUUUGUCCCAGGGCACAGGCAAGAAUCUGUCUACAGCUCUUUGGUCACAUGGCAGCCACCACCUUCAUGGUCCAGUACGCCAGGCUACACAUGAGAUGUCUUCAGAGCUGGCUCAAUUUCAAUUUCAAACCCAACAGACACAUCUUAGGGAUGCUGCUAACUCCUCCUUCCAGUGUUAUAGCUGCCCUACAUUGGUGGACAAGACCAGAAAACCUCUGCACGGGGGUUUCCUUCCAGCAACGAUCCCCAAUGCUCAUGCUCACCACGGACGCUUCCCUAAUCGGUUGGGGAGCGCAGUGAGGGGGACACAGGGCACAAGGCCAGUGGUCCGCAUCAGAGACGCACCUACACAUAAAUCUUAGAGCUCAGAGCAGUGAGGCGAGCAUG